rnacentral:rRNA from 1 species
AAGAGACAGCAGCAGCCGCGGUAAUACAGAGGGUGCGAGCGUUAAUCGGAUUUACUGGGCGUAAAGCGUGCGUAGGCGGCUUUUUAAGUCGGAUGUGAAAUCCCUGAGCUUAACUUAGGAAUUGCAUUCGAUACUGGGAAGCUAGAGUAUGGGAGAGGAUGGUAGAAUUCCAGGUGUAGCGGUGAAAUGCGUAGAGAUCUGGAGGAAUACCGAUGGCGAAGGCAGCCAUCUGGCCUAAUACUGACGCUGAGGUACGAAAGCAUGGGGAGCAAACAGGAUUAGAUACCCCAGUAGUCCCUGUCUCUUAUAA